GACGAACGCUGGCGGCGUGCUUAACACAUGCAAGUCGAACGGUGAAGCGCCUUCCUUUUUGGUGGGUGUGGAUGAGUGGCGAACGGGUGAGUAACACGUGAGUAACCUGCCCCCUUCUUCUUGAUAACCGCAUGAAAGUGUUGCUAAUACGGGAUAUUCUGGUUCUGUCGCAUGAUGGGUCUGGGAAAGAUUUUGUUUCGGUUGUGGAUGGGCUCGCGGCCUAUCAGCUUGUUGGUGGUUUGAUGGCCUACCAAGGCGGGGACUGGUAGCCGGCCUGAGAGGGUGGACGGUCAGAAAGGGAGUGAGACACGGAACAGACUCGUAAGGGAGGCAGCAGUGGGGAAUAGUGCAAAAUGGGAGCAAGCCUGAUGAAGCGAAGCCGCGUGAGGGAUGGAGGGCUUCGGGUAGGGAACCUCUUUCGCAAGUGAAGCAGGCCUGCGUCGAUUGUGGGUGGGUUGACGGUAGAGGGAUAAGAAGCGUCGGCUAACUACGU
rnacentral:rRNA from 1 species